UCUCUUGCUCACUCGCUCACUCUCUGGCUUGCCCCAGUCGAAUCCCUAGCUCGCCGCUGCCGCCGCCGCCUCUCCCUCGCACUCGUCGCCAGCGCCUCUCCGUCGCCCGUGUUGCCGACGCCUCUCCGUCGCCCGCGUCGCUCUGCCUCUCCCUCACGCGUCGUCGCCGCCACUCCAUUGGCCCUCUCGUCCUCACCCCUUCAGGACCCCAUUUUUACUUUCCGAUAGGUGGAUCCGAAGCGCGGCGGCUCGACCUGCAACGCCGUCAGCUGCGGCUUUAAUCUGGAGCUCCAUGGCGUCGCACAAGUGUGGCGGCCAGAUGGAGCGGAUUCAUUGCUCCUGCGUGCACCGGGCGCUCCGCGGCCUCAUGUUCAGCAGCAGCAACAAGGCCAGCAACGGCUGGAGGGAGGUGCAGGGUAACUUCAUCCCCUUCUGCUGUUGCCCAAUGUCGAGGACGGUCCAGGAGCCGCCGCUCGUCCUGGCGGUGGACGACAGCCUCGUCGACUGCGUGGUCAUCUCCUGGAUCCUCCGCAGCUCCAAAUACAGAGGUGGACACAUUGCUGGAGCCGUGUGGCACUCCUAAUGGUCUCAAGCAUACUCCCGUAAAACAUUUGGAGUACAUUUGUUGGUUGAAGUACCAAGAUAUUGGUGGAACUUCAUUCAAGGAGUAAAACAUUUCCAGUACCAAGAUUGCAGUAAAUUUUGUGGAACUUCACUGCUUGAGACCAUGUUAAUGAUGAUGCUUGUGCAGUACCAAGAUUCAGUAUCAGUAGCCGAGUGUUGGUUGAAGUGACUGUUCAAUUGUUCAGUGUCCGUUUUGUUAUCUUCAUUUCAGAAAUUUAUCUUUCCAUUCCUUCUUCCUAUCCUUCAUGUAGGGACUAUACUGCUUUACUUCAAACAAGUUUUCUUUAAAACCAAACGAAUUAGGACUUACAUUUUAGUUUAAAGUUUAUGCGCCUAAUUUAAAGUUUAAUUUCCCAGUAGAUUUUGAAUGUCUUUUCUUGGUUCUCUACCAGAAAACACACUACUCCAUUUUCUGGUGAUACUUAUCUGGUGAUCACAAGAUAUAAAUCCACUAUUACCAGUACCAUUAUCUGGUGAUCACAGAACCAUUUGAAAAUGAUCAAAAUGUACUCCUUUUCAGUUAAUAUAGAGUACUGAAACUGAAAAUGUGCAUACUGAAACUGAAACUGAUCAAAUGGAGUACAAAACCAUUUGAAAACGACCAAGAUGAUCAAAAUGGUCAAAUGGAGUACUCCUCAAUUAACGUAGAGUAGUUACAGUAAUUAUCAUAUCAUCUUGCCCUCUUUAAUAGUCAAUCAACUGUCACUAAUCGAGUGUUGUUUACUCCAACAAUUAUCUUAUUUUUAAUUGUCACUCCUACAAGCAUUUCUUUCUCUUCUCUUUCUGGCUAAUCACUCCACACAAUUUAAAUGAUCAUUCAAGUUCCUUUUGCAAAUUCAAGUUUUUGUAAUGAACUACUUAUAAGAUGGAGUAUGUUCCUUUUGCCUCCCUUGUUAAGCAGUAGUUGUAGAGUACUCCUUUUCAAGAUGUCACCAAGAGUGGCUCCGACUGAGUUAUCACCAAGAGGGGGUCGGCACAGAUUUGUCACCUCUUCAAGCGUCAUGGCAUGUCGGCGCUUGUCACCUCUUCUGGGCCAAAAUCUAACUUUGAAUCAUGCGACCAGUAUGAGCCAGAGCUAUUUCCUGGUUUGAUUUCUCCUGGGUGUACUAUGCUUUCUAGUGUCUGAUCUGAUGGCAAGAAUACUGUGUCGACGGUCAACCUGGACUGUAAAUUGGAUCUGAAAGCAAUAGCUCUCCAGGCAUGCAAUGCAGAGUAUAACCGCAAGGUAAAAUCAUUAUCCUAAGGCAUUCAUAAUGAUGUUUGAUUUUUUUCUCUUAUUGGGCUCGUGAUGCUAUA